rnacentral:lncRNA from 1 species
AAGAUUGUUUUGGUUCUGUAAAUGUAAGUGAAUUUGGUUUUUUCACCAAUCGGAGAAGAUGAUCGGAAUUUUAGAGGGGAAGGAGAGGAGGUUGUGGAAAUGGCUGAGCUAUCUGACUUAGAUAGUUGCCUACGUAUCUGAGAGUGGCUAAGUCCCAGAAUCAAGCCCACGUAGUUCAUAUAUAUAGGUGAUUGGGACAACGGAUAGCUCAUUAAUUGCCCAACGGUGUGGCUAAUUAAUGAGCGGAUAUUUUGGAUCUGGAAAUAUAUUGUAACUGAAGAGAAUCGAAACGUAUAAUAUUUGAACGAAGACGGUGUAGGUCGAAUAGUGGUAGUCUCACGUCGGGUGAGGUCGGAUAAAAAUAGGUCCAUGCCGAAUGAAGGUAUGUUAAGGUCGGAUUGGAUUUGUAUUUGUGGUCACGAAGUGAGCUCGAGUAAAAGUGGUGUUACGUCGAGUAGAGUCGAAUAUAAAUGGGUUCACGACGAUAUGUGUAUACAUAGCCCCUUUUUUAUUUUGAGUUGGGGCUAGGAAGUAAGAUUUUGGACGUGGUGGACUCAAGUCGGAAUAAAAAAUGUAGAAGAUAACAUUGUCUAGUCGGCUGUUUGCUCUCGAUUUACGAUGCAAGCAAAGAUUCCAUUGCGUGCUGCAGUAAAUGAGUUUGUAGUUUCGAGAGGAGAGAAAUGAUUGCUGUAGUUGGGUAAUGCGCUCUUUUAGCCACGUGUAAUGUAUUUUGAAUUUUGAUUUUGAGAAAGUAACGUAAAUUGGAGGGAAACCAACAGUUUCAGCGGUUGGAUUUAUCGCGGCAUAUCUGGCCGUUGAUUUGAGUUAGCUUGAACGGUUAUGAUGGAGUGGUUGGGUUUUAUAAAACCUAACCGCAUGGCUAGAAAACCAAGGGUUUCUUUAACUUUGGAUUUAAAGCUGCUGCAUCUGCUCAUCGCAAGGUAACUUACUCUCUUCUCUUUUAUUCUUCUCCUUCGUUUCUUUUCAUUUGCAUCUCCAUUGCUGUUCUUCAUCAUUUUUGCUUGUUUAUCUCCUUUUCUUCAUUUGUUGUUUUGAGUUACUUCAUUUUCUCUUUUAUCUGUUCAAUUUCUUUGUUUUUAUUGUUGAAAUUUCUGUUGUUUUGGUGCUGUUUUUGAAUAUCUCCGCCAUUGUUGAAGUUUUUGAAGCUUUCUGCUUCUGUAAUUGCUACUUGUUCUUGCCGGAAAUAAUUUGCUCACUGAUUUGUCAUAGUUAUUUAUCCAUCGGAAAGAUGAGUGAUAGGGGGUCUGAAAGUAUAAGUGAGAAUGAUGAAGAUGUUCAGGCUAGUGUAAGUGGGAGUCGAUUUGAAGCACAUGAUGAGGAGACGACCAGUGGUAGGGUUUUUAGUGUAGAGGAGGCUCGGAGGUCGUUUCCAGAAAUUCGAGCUGAGUUUAACAUUAACAUACCCGACCUUGAAAUGUAUAGGGUACCUGAUAGGUUGUUCGACUUAUGUGGGGAUACCACUUCGACCCUAAUCUGUCUUGGCCAGCUGAGGGGGGGCAUGCGUCUUCCAUUUAGCAAGUUCGUAUGUGAUGUUCUGAAUCACUACGACGUGGCUCCCAUUAUGAUGCCCUCCAGCUUUUGGACAUCAAUGUUGAUUUUUGAAGAAUUGAACAGGCUGUAUAAGGCCGACAUUGUAAAAUCUGACGUCGUUGCAUACUUCAUGUGUGUGACCGGUCGGAGUGGGGAUUACGUUUGCUCUUUAAAUAGGAGACGGGGUUGUGGCCCAGCAAAGCUGUUUAACCCUCCGACUUCGAAUGAUGGGUGGAAGAAUUCCCCUGUGUAUAGAAUUCGGGGUCAGUUUGUCCAGCCCAGUGCUUUCCUAUGCCGAUAUGCGAUUCCGAGCAUAGGUGAACGUAUGUCUUGUAACUUAGUCUUAUAUUUAUAAAGUUGAGUUUUUUGCUGACUUCCCUUGUGCGUUUUGUAGGUCAAACAAAAGAUUACAACGAGCAUAUCGACGGGCGUUUGCAUCCAAGCAACAUAAUUGAUUUUGCUGAGAAGUCUUGGGCAGAGAAAAGGAAGCUGUUACCUCAUCUUGCCCGUUUCUUUUGUGAGCCCCGAGUUAAAUUUACCAAAGGUACCGAAGUUGAAGUCGGUGCCUCGAGUGCUCCCGCACCCAAGAGAGUGAGAAGGAAGAAAGGGGAGCUUGCUAUAGCUCUGCCAGUUGCGGAGUUGGUUUCAGGUCGACCAGGAGAUUUGCCAGUCGAGGCUGUGGCUGCUUUGCCUAUCAUGGCCCCGCCAAAGAAGUCUACAGAAUUUCCCCUGACCGGUGGAUCUGCUCCUCUGGCGAGUAAGGUUCCAAACGCACCCAAUCUUAGUGACUUUUUUGGGUCGAGGUCAAUCGAACCUGCCUCCCAAUCUAAGAAGAGGAAAGCCCCAGCUAGGGCAUCUGAGGUUGUGACCACCUCUAAGGUCGAUAGACCUGCUCAGGAUAAGAGGAAGGGAAAAGCCCAAGCCCCUCCAUCCAAGUCGACGAAGCCAUUGGCUGUCGACGUGAGCGAAGAUUUCGCUGCAGGUGAGGCGAAUCGGUUUUCGUCGGUGUUUCCUUGCCGUGAUUCUUAUGUGAGGGCUGAAGACUCGGCGUGGGAUGACAAGGAGAUGAGUCUUUCGCUGAUGGAGAAUUGCUUUCUCUUUGAGGACGCGAAGAAGAUUCAGCCCCAAUCUCUUGUGGAGGAUUCCCAAGAAUUCGCGUCUUGCGCAUAUAGGGUGAGUUUCACUUGCCCAGUUAUGAUUUGGUUUACCAUUUUACUUUUCAUGUAUUUUGUUUCUUGAUUUUUCCCUUGUUGUGUGUCAGAUGAAUGUGAUCCAUAACAAGUGGAUUACCAAGCUCGAGAAUGCGAAGAAGAAGGCUGAAGCUCUGCAGAAAGCCAAUGCUGAAGUCAAGACUUUGCGAGCUGGAGACCAGAGUCUGAAGGGUAAGCUCGAGGCUUCCCAGAAAGAGUGUGCCGAGUACGGUGCCAAUCUGGAUGAGGCGCAAAGUUUUGUGAUGACUCUUCAAGGUCGGCUUGCAGAUGUUAAUGCGAGCUGGGAAGCUGAUGCGCAGAAGUCUGUUAAGAGCAUCGCGGGUUGGCGGCAAAUAUCUUAUGCCCUGGAGGAGAGGUGCCAACGUCGUGAGGCUCAACUUGCAUUAUUGGUAGAAAACUUUGAUGCUUUUGCUGAUAAGGACGCCAUAAAAGUUGUCGCUCUUGAGCGUUUUCGUCUCGAAACAGAAGAGGAGAAUAACCCCGGGGGUGCUGUUUCUAAUGUGGAGGCUGAAAAGGAACCUUCUCCUCGAGCUGGCGAGAAUUCUGGCGCCGCGACCCUAGAUGCUCCUGAUGAGCAGCCCUGAUCUUAUUGUUGUAUUUUCAAUUCUGCUGAGAGCUGUGAGGUUUUCUUUUGAUGUUUGUAAAACAUAAGUAAGGAAUUCCGACUUCGGUUGGCCUUACGUCUGCUUUAUUUUGCAAUUCAACUAUGUAGACUAAAUGUUUGUAUGUUGAAUUGAAUAUAUUUGGUUCUCGUUACAACUUGCCGUUUAAUGUAGCUCGAAAUAAAUUGCCUUGUAGUAUGCGUUGUAUUUGAUUUUAUUACCUAAUCUUGCUGUGAGGGCAUGGGAGAUAUCGAUACUUGAAAGUGAUCAAGGUAGAUAGAUUUUUAGGAACUUCGAGUUCCAAGGUCGAGGCACCUGUUCUCCUUCUGCAUCAAUGAGUGUGUAUGCGCCAUUCCCUAAAUUGGUUUUGACAAUGUAUGGUCCUUCCCAAUUAGGAUUUAACUUUCCGUCCCCAGGUUUUUUUGUAUUUGAAAAAACUUGUCUGAGGACGAGGUCUCCACUUUGGAAUUCUCUUGAUCGGACUUUUUGGUUGUAGCUCCUUUUUAACACUUGUUGGUAACGGGCAGUGGUGAUUAAGGUUUGGUCUCUUUUUUCCUCGAGCAUGUCAACCUCGUGGGCCCAUAAAUCUUCGUUUUCCUUGGAUUGUACGAGCUCAGAUCGAGUAGUUAGGAAGUUUAACUCGGUUGGUAUGAUAGCUUCCGUGCCAUAACAUAAGGCAAAUGGAGACAUUCCUGUAGACGUGCGUGGUGUCGUUCUGUAUGCCCAUAGUACUCUAUCGAGUUCCUCUAUCCACUUCUCUUUGUGUGCUUCAAGUUUUUUCUUAAUAUUAUUCAUGAUGGUCUUGUUGGUGGCCUCGGCCUGACCGUUGCUUUGAGCGUAGCGAGGUGUUGAGAGUGAGUGGUUGAUUCUCCAGUCGAGGUAAAAUUCCUCGAUUAAAGUUCCACAGAAUUGUUGACCAUUAUCGGUGACCAGAGUGUGUGGUAGUCCAAAUCUGGUGAUAAUAUACUUCCAGAUGAAGUUUUUGACAUCUUGUUGACGUAUUCGUCGUAGAGGUAUUGCUUCGACCCAUUUGGUGAAGUAGUCUGUUGCCACGAGUAAGAAUCGUUUCUUGGAUCUAUCUCUCAAGAUGGGACCCACAAUAUCGAGCCCCCAGAUUGCAAAAGGCCAAGGACUUGAGAUUGUCUUGAGGUCCCGUGCUGGCUGGUGAAUUAAUGGAGCAAAUCUUUGGCACUUGUCACAGUGUUGGACAAACUUGUCUGCAUCUGACUGCAUGUAUGGCCAAAAAUAACCUUGAUUUCUUGCUUUUUGGGCUAAAGACCUAGCCCCUGCAUGGUUUCCGCACUCCCCAUGGUGGAUUUCAGCGAGAAUUGUUUGUGCUUGUUUUGGUGGGAGACACCUCAAAUACGGCCCUCGAGUUGACUUUCGGUAGAGUCUUUUGUCGAGCAGAAUAUAGCUUUUAGCCUUUCGCUCGAGUUUACGUAAUUCGAAAUCAUCAUCUGGGUAUGUUCCCUUUAAGUAAUUGAUGAUUGGUCCCAUCCAGGAAUUUUCUAUUUCAGUAGGUGGAAUAUCUAUGAAGUCUGAUACCUCAUUUACCUGAUGCACCUGUGCCUCAUAUGCCGGGGCUGACUGUAUGUCAAUUUGUAUUGUCCGCGGUGAAUCAGUGUCGAUUUGUGAGGCUAGAUAUGCCAAGCUAUCGGCAUGACGGUUGUCAUCCCGUGGGACAUGCUGAAUCUCCCAUUUGUUGAAAUAACUUAGUAAUUUUUUGGUAUGCUCCAAAUAUAGCUUUAGAGUCUUUUCCCUUGUUUCGUAGUCGCCUAGAAUUUGGCUGACUGCCAAUUGUGAGUCACUUAGUAUUCGUAAUUCCUUUAUCUGUAAGGCUAUGGCCAUUUGUAUGCCUGUGAGGAGUGCCUCGUAUUCUGCAUCGUUGUUGCUUGUGGUGAAAUUUAGUCUGACUGACUUUUCUAUGAUUGCGUCUUCUGGUGAAAUUAGUGUGGCCCCUACUCCUGAGCCGUUGAGGUUUUUGGAGCCAUCGACAUAGAGUUUCCAUAUUGAGAUCUUUGUUAUUGGUUGGUCGAUGACCUCAUUAUCGGGUAUCCAUGAGUUGUCGUCGAUGGCGUAAUCCACCAGGAGGUCAGCUACGAUUUGCCCUUUUCUGCUACUUCUUGGAGUGAAAAUGAGCUCGUGGUCUCCAAGUUCUUGGGCCCAUUUUGCCAUUCGUGUAGAUUUGUUUCUGCUUUCCAGCACUUGUCGAAGUGGUGCAUCUGUGAGGACCCUUAUCUUGUGUGAUUGGAAAUACGGCUUUAACUUUCGCGAGGCGAAUAGUAAAGCUAAACCUACCUUCUCAAGACUUGAAUACCGAGUUUCGGAAGACAUCAAUGUCUUACUGAUGAAGUAUAUUGGUCUUUCUAUGCCUCUUUCAUCUCGGAAUAAUACUCCACUAAUUGCGUGUUCAGAUGUGCCAAGGUAGAGUCCCAGUACAUCGCCAUCUUGUGGUAUGGUGAUGACUGGUGGGGUAGCCAAGUAUAACUUGAGCUCGUCGAAUGCUUGUUGGCAUUCAGUUGUCCAGUUAUAAGUUGACCCUUUCUUUAGUAGCUGAAGUAAUGGUCGUUGUUUAUCUGAUGCCCGGGCUAUGAACCUGUUUAGGGCUGCUAUCAUGCCGUUGAGCUUUUGAACUUGCCUCUUGGUUUUUGGGCUCGGCAUCUCAAGUAUAGCUUUGAUUUUUUCUGGGUUUGCUUCGAUACCCCUUUGUGUGAUGAGGUAACCCAAGAAUUUUCCAGAUGCUACGCCGAAUAAACAUUUUUCCGGAUUGAGCUUCAUGUUGUACUCGUUAAGUCGGAGGAAUGUUUGUUCGAGGUCGGUGACAUGGGUAGCUUUGUGCUUGCUUUUAACUAUCAUGUCAUCAACAUAGACUUCCAUUGUGUUGCCAAUCAUAUCAUGGAACAUUUUGGUUGCGAGUCGUUGGUAUGUGGCUCCCGCAUUUCUUAAUCCAAAUGGCAUGACUGUAUAACAAAAGGUACCUUGCUCAGUGAUGAACGCGGUUUUCUCCUGAUCUUCGUCUGCUAAUUUUAUUUGAUUGUAACCUGAAUAACCAUCCAUUAAGGAAAUUAGUUCGUGACCUGCUGUGGAGUCAACAAGCUUGUCUAUUCGAGGCAAAGGGAAGCUAUCUUUUGGGCAAGCUUUGUUGAGAUCCGUGAAGUCAAUACAUACUCUGACUUUACCAUUAGGUUUUAUGACUGCGACAAUAUUGGAGAGCCAGUCAGGAUAUGCGACCUCACGUAUGAAUUUUGCAUUUUUUAGCUUUUGUAUCUCUGCGUUAACCGCAUUGGCGAGAUGAGCUGCUAGCUUGCGAGCUUUUUGUUUUACAGGCUUUUUAUUGGUAUCUACAUUCAACCUGUGACAAGCAAUAGUGGGGUUGAUCCCUGGCAUGUCGGUAUAAGCAAAAGCAAAGACAUUUUUAUUCAUCUUAAGAGUAGCAAUAAGUUGCUCUUUUACAAUGGGGUCCAAGUUAGCCCCUACAUAGACAUAUUUAGGAUCGUCAUCCGAUCCUAUGUUGACCUUUUCACCUUGUUCAAUGACAGGUGGGUCAGAUGGAUGAACAAUUUCCUUGCCUUUUUGAGCUUGUGAGAUCUCAUUCUCAGUGGUUGGAGUGGAGUCUUCGACUGCCUUGCAGAUUGCAGCGAUCAUAUUGACAGUGGGCUUAGAUGAGCUUGCCACCAUUGCGGAGGUAUCCACCUUAUUAGGGAGUGGGAUAACCUCGGGUAUGGCAUGACAGCCAUGUGCUUCGAUUUGGUCACCUCGUAAUUCCAUGAUGCCUCUAGGGCCAGGAAACUUGAUGACCUGAUGGUAUGUCGAUGGUACUGCCUUCAUUUUAUGAAUCCAUUUUCGUCCAAGAAUUGCAUUGAACUGAGCCGGGACAUCAAGGACGAAGAAGGUGCAAUACACAGUUACCUCGUCUUCAUUUUCACCAGUUGCUACAGGAAGGCAAAUUUCACCUUUUGCUUCAGUUUCAGUUGAGUUGAAAGCAAAAAGAGUGACUUGUGGCUUCUGAAGGACCGAGUCGGGCAUCUGCAUUUGACUGUAUGCCUUGUUGAAUAUUACAUCACAAGAACUCCCGGGGUCAAUAAGCACUUUUUUCAUUAUCCAUCCCCCAAUGUUGAUGUGUACUACCAAGGCAUCAUUAUGUGGGAGACAUACCUUUUUGAGGUCGAAGUCCGAGAAAAUCAAGGCAUUGUUACCUGUGAUUUGUUUAGCCACGAUGGCUUUGUGAGUCAAGUGGAAGGUAUGGUGGAGAUGAUGAAUCUUUUGUUUCUUUGAGCGAGCUGACCAUUCGGGAGGUCGAGCAUCCAUGAUCAUGUUAAUGGUUCCCUUAGGUUUCUUACCUUUCUCCUCUGAGGUCUUUUGUCUUUUGGCCUCUAGUUUGCUGCGGAGGUCAGGUUCAUUUUCAGAGAGGAAGUCAUCGAGAUGACCCUCCUCCUUGAGCUUGUGACAGUAAGCUCGCAGAAUACGGCAAUCUUCAGUGAGAUGGUGGCGGCACUUAUGUAACUUACAAUAUGGUUUCCCCUCAAUUGGUUCUAGGUCAUGAACCUGAGGCUGGAAGUAAUCCUCAUCUUUGAUGAGGUCGAAGAGCUGAUUGUAUGAGCACUUGAAGGGAUUCGGAAAUUUGGAUUUUGCAUUGGAUGUUGCCUUGCCCUUGUAUUCUGAUCGAUUCUGCUUUGGUUUCGAGUGAGUGGACUCUGUUGUUUGGACAACAGCCACUCGUUCUUUGGAUUUUGUGAGGGCGUCCUCCAACUUGAUGUACUUGUCAGCGCGUACAUACAAGUCUUCCAACGUUGCAGGUGCAUCUAGGAUAAUAUUUUUUCCUAGCGCUGUGUUGGGGUUGACAGCGGAUAUGAAGGCCAAGAGACACGAGUAUUCAUCUGGAUUCUCGGCUCGCAGGCAUUCCUUUUUGAAUCUUGCCAUGAACUUCUUUGUUGUUUCAGUUUCGUCCUGUUUGAGACGAAAAAGGGCAGUAACCUCGAUUCUUCUUCUUUUAUUGUGGAUAUACUGGGUGACAAAGAGUGACUCUAGUUGGUCGUACGAGGUAAUAGAUCUUUCUGGUAGUCGAUGGUACCAGUCUAUUGCACUCCCACGGAGUGAUGCAGAAAACAAACGGCAGAAAAUGUCCUUGUACUUUGGCCAUAGGGCCAUGCCUGUCUUAAACUGUAGGACGUGGUCCAUUGGGUCUCCACUUCCAUCGUAAGUGGUGAACUUUGGAGGUAUGAAGUUUGGGGGGGGUUCCUGUUGGAGGAGGUCUUCAUGAAGGGGUUCUAUCUUAUAACGUUCCAGGGUUGUUGAGGCUACUUUUUGGGCUGUGUUAGCCUUCAUUGAGUCUUGAUGGUUUUUAUCAAGCUUUUCCGACAGCUGUAGUAUUCUGUCAUGAGCAGCUUGAAGGUCAGCCAUGGUGGGGGCGGCGGUGUUACUGGAGGUGGGUAGGGCAGGGUUGUUGAUAGUUGUUGUGACUUCUUCAGCAUUGAGCGCAUUUGCAGCAACUCCGUUGGGCGGUGUGCCAUUAGUGGUGGCGGUGGUGCUCUUGAGGUGAUUGUUUUCAGCCACCAGCCUGUUAAUCUGUUCCUGUUGAUCAGCCAUCUGCUUCUGGAGUUGUUCAAAUUGCUCAUUGGUAAUUGUUGCCAUGGUUGUUUGUCAGGUUAUUGUCCGUUCACGAAUCAGUCGGCGCCAAUGUAAAUGUAAGUGAAUUUGGUUUUUUCACCAAUCGGAGAAGAUGAUCGGAAUUUUAGAGGGGAAGGAGAGGAGGUUGUGGAAAUGGCUGAGCUAUCUGACUUAGAUAGUUGCCUACGUAUCUGAGAGUGGCUAAGUCCCAGAAUCAAGCCCACGUAGUUCAUAUAUAUAGGUGAUUGGGACAACGGAUAGCUCAUUAAUUGCCCAACGGUGUGGCUAAUUAAUGAGCGGAUAUUUUGGAUCUGGAAAUAUAUUGUAACUGAAGAGAAUCGAAACGUAUAAUAUUUGAACGAAGACGGUGUAGGUCGAAUAGUGGUAGUCUCACGUCGGGUGAGGUCGGAUAAAAAUAGGUCCAUGCCGAAUGAAGGUAUGUUAAGGUCGGAUUGGAUUUGUAUUUGUGGUCACGAAGUGAGCUCGAGUAAAAGUGGUGUUACGUCGAGUAGAGUCGAAUAUAAAUGGGUUCACGACGAUAUGUGUAUACAGGUUCAUAAUACAUAAGAGAUAUGUUGAAUGAACUCACUUCACUUGUGAUACGUGGGGAAGGUGAAGAAUAAAAUGCAGAAUAAUAUCAACUUCUUUCUCUGCUUCUUCGCAACUGGUUGUUGUUGGCAUGCUUUGGGUAUUAACGAAGAUCGGAGAAGGGAUAGAGACAGCGAGUCUGCGAGUGAGUAAACAGUCAGUCAAGGCAGCUGUCAUUGGUUGGAGAAUUUCGUCAAAUAUGUACUGUACUUUCAUCGAGGUCACAUAAAUACAUGCCAAAUCAGCUUAUACACAAGGCAUUGUGACUUUUCUAGUGGAAGAGGCUGCUGCAAGGGUUAAAGCAACAAUGUGGAGUUGGAUGGAAAUCGGCAAGGAUAACACUUCCAACACAAGAAAGGUCACAGCUACAACGAGCAAACAUAUCAGGUUAAAAGGACACAUGGACGUGCAGCAUAUCAGGUUAAAUAAGACAGAGCAGUGCUCAUGCGACCAAAGGUAGGCCUUGCAGAGUUCCUGAACAGGGGCAUGAUUACAGGGAGAAGCGGCAGUUUUUACUUGUUUC